UACGUAGGCAGCAAGCGUUGUUCGGAGUUACUGGGCGUAAAGGGUGCGUAGGCGGUUGUUUAAGUUUGGUGUGAAAUCUCCCGGCUCAACUGGGAGGGUGCGCCGAAUACUGAAUGACUAGAGUGCGGGAGAGGAGAGUGGAAUUCCUGGUGUAGCGGUGAAAUGCGUAGAUAUCAGGAGGAACACCUGUGGCGAAAGCGGCUCACUGGACCAUAACUGACGCUGAUGCACGAAAGCUAGGGGAGCAAACAGG
rnacentral:rRNA from 1 species